rnacentral:rRNA from 1 species
UGAGGAAUAUUGGUCAAUGGACGCAAGUCUGAACCAGCCAAGUAGCGUGCAGGAUGACGGCCCUAUGGGUUGUAAACUGCUUUUCUAUGGGGAUAAAGUGGGGAACGUGUUCCCUUUUGCAGGUACCAUAUGAAUAAGGACCGGCUAAUUCCGUGCCAGCAGCCGCGGUAAUACGGAAGGUUCGGGCGUUAUCCGGAUUUAUUGGGUUUAAAGGGAGCGUAGGCCGUUUGGUAAGCGUGUUGUGAAAUGUAGGAGCUCAACUUCUAGAUUGCAGCGCGAACUGUCAGACUUGAGGGCGCACAACGUAGGCGGAAUUCAUGGUGUAGCGGUGGAAUGCUUAGAUAUCAUGAAGAACUCCGAUUGCGAAGGCAGCUUACGGGAGCGCAACUGACGCUGAAGCUCGAAAGCGUGGGUAGCAAACAGG